UACCAAAACCAUUCGCCUUGCAGCGCGUCGAAUCCUUCUCCGAUAUUAAAAAAGAUCAGAGUAUUUUCACCGAUAAAAUGCCUCCGUGAUCGGCUUUGAAGAGACCGUCGGCCAAGUCCUCUCCGAAGCCCUCGAAUCGUCGCGAGUCCGCGAAGGCCGAAUCCGUGGCGAUCGAGAAAGAACCCGCCCCUGCUGCGGCAUUGGAGGAACUUCCUUCCAAAAUCAAUCAGAGGGAUCCAGUGCUGAUUUCUUCUCUCCAUUCUCUUUCUCUAGGGACCUUGAUAGUUAUUCUUCUAGAAGAGUUGGUGUUAAAGAUCAGCUGUCUCCACCCACAGGGAAAUACGGACCUAGGAAUAGGAAGAAAAUUGCUAGGGAUGGAUCUGCAGUCAGCAGCAGAAGAUCUAGAGAUCUUUAUCCAGAGAGCAGUUCAUCAGGCAGAUAUGCACUUGAGAGUUACCAAGGUAUGCCGACUACUUAUUCCCGAUCUAGGAGGCUGGAUGCUGAGGCAGAUUUCUAUGACCCUCGAUUUGAAUGUUGGGAGACUUAUGAGUAUCCUGCAGUGUCUGGAUAUAAGCAUACCUAAUCUGAGAUUGUGACUUCUUGGCAUCAAGCUCCUUGACAAGUCGGGGUAGAAUCAGGUCAGAAUUGGAAGUGGGUGCUUAUUCUCACCAGGGUGCUUCUGCAUAUGAUGAGUAUUCCAGGUUCCUGCCAGAUGAGCGGCUUGGCUAUGAUAGAAAGGAGUAUUCAAUCGGGAAUAUGGAAAUAGAUAUUGUUCUGGAACUGUUGCUAUCAAACAUACUAUUGAAAAAAGACAUCCCUAGGCAAGAUCAUAUAUUGACAUGUAGAUCAGGUUUCAUGGUCUCUUUUCAAACUACACUCCAGCUUCCAUUGUAUUACUUUUAUUCAGCUUAUAAACUUGAACUUUUAAGACCAUAAAUUCAGCAACCUGUUUCACGCGAGAUGAUAUUACAUAAUCCAUUUUUAUUCAUUUUAAGCUUGAUCUAAGUGUGAAUACUUCUGCUCCUGCAACCCAAACCCUGGGCUAAGGGUUUGGCUAUCCUGAUAGGUAGUUGUGUGUUGAAAGGCUGAGCUGAGACCUCUUUUCUUGCCUUCCACCUAUUCAGAAUUAGCUCAGGCUGCUCUAAUUGUGGGUUGUUUCCAUGUAAAAAUUGGCCUAUCUCAGCUAACAAUAUAUGGAAAACCUCUCUUUAUAGAAAGUGCAAGAUAAAAUUGCACUUGGUCAUAUGGAUCAACUUUUCUAGUUUAACCAGUGAUAGAUUUUUGAAGAACAGGACACAGUAGCCUUUUGUUCAGAUGAAGGUUUGAUAAAGUCUAUUGCAACAUUAUAAUAGCUGCUGUGAUGGUUAUGCAGGGCUCCUGUAAUGUUGCAUAUAUUAGUAAUGGGAACUUAAAUUACAGCAGUUUCCUGACCACUAUUCCGUUAUCAGUCUUACGUGAUGGGAAUAACAACUGUUGUUUAACAUCUUCAAUAUCAACUCUCUGCUGGUUUCCUCCCCUAAUUUACUGAGCAAUAACAUUUAUGUUUUCUGCUGCGGUCCGUUAUGUACCGUUGUAACUGCAAAAGACAUUAGCUGCAACAGUCAUUACAGAAAUUUCCCAUUCCAGGCAGAUCUGAGCAAAAAAUUCCUGUUAUUUUAUCAUUAAAAUGAUGAAUAACAGUAAUGGAAAGGGUUAAUUGUUUGUAGAUAUUGACGUUAUUGAUAAUCGAAAACUUUGUUCAGAUUUGGUGUUUGGUGCUUAACCUGAUGAUUAUAUCAUUUUUUUUCUUUUUUUUGGGGCUGGGUUCAUAAAAGGGAUAAUUGGUGUUGGAUUCAUUAGGUAUGAGAGAGAAUGUUUGGGUGAGCAUCUAUAUGGUACUGGUGCCAUGUGCUUGCCCAUGUUGAAUGAUAUAAAUUUGCACAGAUAAUGGUAUAUUAUUUGUAGAUAUGUGGUAAAUUGCAGCUAUAGAGAAGUUUUAUUAAUGUAGGUUGUGAAACUUGGUAUCCAAAUGACUGAGUCAUCGAGAUAGCCAACCGACUAAAUGAGGGUUUACUUUUAUAAUAAAUGUAAGCAUGUGCUGGUUCCACCAUUGCCAUAUUUUUGUAUGGACUCAUGAUGAUUGACUAACCAUUAGCUGAAUCAUAAACUGUCACAUCUAUGAUGGUUGGCUUGAUGUGUCAUUCACCUUAUCAUGCUAAGGUUUAAGCAGGAUUAAGCGUGUUCUUUUUUACAGUUUUGUUCUGAGAGUUCAUAUGCCUUUUCCUUCCCAUGUUUCCAACCUUCUGUGUAGAAACAAGUCUUGCAGGAGCUUCUGUGGCAUCUGUUGUGCAUUACUUUACCCUUCCAUUCCAUUCUAUUCUUUGUUAUUCAUUUUUAUCAUUCAACUUAAGUGUCGUUGGUUUCAGUUAAUUCUAACUUGGUUCCUAGCUAUAAUUUUACACUUCUCUAUGAGUUUCUAUCAUUUUGUCCAUCCUUCUUUAUCCAUUCUCUAUUCCAUUAUAUUCUUACUUAUUUUGGCUGCCAUCACUCAAAUGGAUUAUUCUGAACUAGAAGAAUAUGAAUAUAAUGUUUUUUGAUUCAAUAUUUGUUUUUUUACUAGUAGAUUUCAAGAUUCAUUUUGGAUUUAUAUUAGUUUGCUAUAACAUUCUGUAUACCUAAAUGGAGUGUGCAACUUUUUAGUACUUCAUAUACACGCCUAUACACAUAGAAUCAGGAUUCAUCUGAAAGCAAUAUCUAUCUGCUGAGGAUGGCCAAAAAUGUUUUGUUCUACAGCUUUAGUAUUAUAGUUUAAGUUUCUUGAAUCCUUAUGGAUCUCUGUAUCUUUUCAAUUCUUCUAUAGGACGGUAGUGUUUAGGGUAGACAACUAGACAUCAUUUAACAUGGACAUGGUAACUUUUGGAUAAAUGUUUUAUACUGGGGUUUAUAUUGUAAUAUGAUCACAAAUGAAAGAUAAGAUGCAACAAAAGAUUAUUUUGUUCAGCAAUGCUCAUGCAUUUUAAAAAUGGUAACUUUCAGAUAGAAUUUUUAUAGUUGGGUAUAUACAGUAGUAUGAUCACAAAUGAAAGAUAUGACCCAACAAAAGAUUAUUGUGUCCAGCAAUGCUCAUGUAUUGUUAUGUUGUUCCUAGCAAAUAUACUUAUGGAAAUUGAGUAUGUUUAGGUGCAUAUGUAAUAGGACUAGGUGGUAGCAGGGUUUGAGAGCAAGAUUUAGAGUUUUAUUAAUUGUUUAUGGUUCCAGUUAAUUAGUAUGAUGUAUUGGAAAUCUAUCGGUGACCCUAAGAAGGGAAGGGCAGCAUGAGGCAAGAUCUGCAAAGUCCUCUCUGUAGAUCAGACUUGUCUCUUUACAAUUAUAACAGCUAUGCAUGUUCAAUGGACAUCUGAAAAUAAGAUUUUUGAAUUACAUUGUAUACAACAAAAACAUAUUUUUAUUAGAAAUUGUAAUAUUUAAAAUGGAUGUCUAUGAGAGAGACUUAAAAGGAAAAUAUUAUCAUAUGAAGAUGAAAGAAUCUAAAUUUAAUAACUAUUAAUUCAAUAUUUUAAAAUUUAAAUCUUGAUGCACCUAUAAUAGUUUAGUGAUUGGAAAUAUAAGUGAGUUGAGCAAUUAAAAUAGGAAAAGGAAAGAACUCUAAUAUUUUAUCCUAUUCACCUUCUAAAGAAUGGAAGGCAUUUGUGGACUGACUGGAUAUCCAUUGUUGUUAAAACUUGUUGAAAAGAGAUUGGCUUCACUGUACUGGACUGUACCAUCUUGUACUAAAGGGGAAUAUGCUGAAAUUUCAAAACCAUCAUUCUCUAACAUAGUAUAGAUGAUCGUUUGUCAUGUGAAAGAACAUUACAAUGGAGACCUAAUGGUAGGAGAAAAGGAGGGUUAAAAAGCUGAAAAGAGUGUUCAGAGGCAUUGGCUGUCUAGAAAGUUGAGCAGUAAUAUCUUUAGGUUUUCUGUUUUGGAAAUAGUAGUUAAUUAGCUUACUGUGCUAAAUGAUAAUUGAUUCUUUCCCUUAAAAAAGAUUAGACUUAAGUGUCUGUCUUGAACUUCUCAAGGCAAAAUAGUGCAUAACUUGUUGAGAAUAGUGUUCGCUUCCCAUUGAAGCUGAUAUAGAGGGGUUAGACCAAUAUUCUUCAUUUUGGGCAAAAACCGUUAAUUCCCCAUAUAAAAUAGUAAACCAAUGAUAAAUGUUUAUGAUAAUUUCCUUACAGUUAAUAGUCUAAAUGUACUUAAUCCAGGUUACUUGCGAUUGCUAUUUUCAAUAGAAGAACUUCAUCAAUGGCCUGGUAACCUGUAAAAGUUUCAAUUCUUAUUUACUAAAUGCAAUAUACUUUGCUUUAGCCUGUUGCAUUGCUGCUUCAUUUGAUAAUUUGUUGGAUGUGUAUUUUUGGCAUGAGUUAUGUGAGUUAUCAUGAAACCAGAUUCAUUUGAUAUCUGAUAUACAUUAUUUAUACUAGUAAUCUGGUACAAUUUAAUGGAGUCAAACUUAUAAAAAUCAUUGUCAACUGUUAACCUUGCCCCAAAUUUAAUAUUUCCAAUAAUUACCUGUUGGUGUUCCCAACCUUAUUCUAUGUUUGUAUCAAAUAGUGAUACUAUGUCAGUUGUAUCCUUGGUUAUAUUUUUAUGCAUGUUCUAUCUAUGGAUUGACAUGAAUUUUAUGUGUUGUGCAAUCUCUCUAUCUCAGAUAAGAAUAUAAGGACUCUAUAUCAUCUUGGGUUGUUUAAUGUUGGAUUUUGUGCUAACAUCGGUCACUCGAUUAACAGGGAAACCGAUUGCUAGAAGUGCUUUCUGCUGUUGCCUAGAUGGCUGCAGCCGUCAAGCCAGAUCAGAUUGAUAUCUGCAAUGCUUUGCUAGCCUGCUGUUUGAGGGGCUUCAGACUUUUUUAGCAAAUUGGGUGGCGACACCUGCUUCAGGAUUAAAGUCUGCUCAUGUUAUUGAGGCGUCGCAAGUGUAAAUACAUUUUUUUAUCAUGUGGUAGUUCUGAAGGGGUUUUUAGCUCAUGACCAGCGCUUGCUCGGUGUAUGGGAAAUUUUCUGCAAGGAGAAAGCUUUUCAGUUUCUCCGGCUGAAGCUCAUUUGUGUAUCCUACAUGGUCGCAUUGCAUAGAGUUUUAGCAGUAGAGCUUCGCAUUUUUGUGGUUAAUUAUUUUCGUUUGAAGCAAUCAGUGAAAAGUUUAAAGUUGAUCUCUUCAAAUGUAGAUAAUUGUAUCAAUCAUUAGGUUAAUCUAUGCAAAUAGUGACUAUUUGCAUUUCUUCAA